UACGUAGGUGGCAAGCGUUGUCCGGAUUUACUGGGCGUAAAGAGCGCGCAGGCGGUCGACCAAGUCGCGUGUGAAAGCCCCCCGGCUCAACUGGGGAGGGUCACGCGAUACUGAUCGACUCGAAGGCAGGAGAGGGUAGUGGAAUUCCCGGUGUAGUGGUGAAAUGCGUAGAUAUCGGGAGGAACACCAGUGGCGAAGGCGACUACCUGGCCUGUUCUUGACGCUGAGGCGCGAAAGCUAGGGGAGCAAACGGG
rnacentral:rRNA from 1 species